AAUAAAAACAAUCUAAGGGCUGAAAUAAAAACUUAAGAAAAAAGUAUUUGUUUAAUAAAAAAACUUGUUGUAAUUCCCUUUCACAGAUACAAAACUCCAUCUUCCUCUAAUCUCCACCGCCAUCCGCCGCUACACCAGAAAUCACGCUUUAUCUUUCUCUGCACCGUCGAACGAACCUUUUGAUCCAUGUUCUCCUUUCCCUCUUCGCCAUCGUUCCGUCUCGACGCGUCAUCUUCCACGGCGUUUUUCCAUUCUCGAUCUCUCCUCCUUCUCGCAUUGCAACUCAUUCCUCCCUUUGAUUCAUUCUGGAAUUUGAAUCAUUUCUAAGUUUCAUAACACUUCUUCUCAGAGAUGAAUUUUGUUAAGUUAGUUAGUUGGCUUGUAUUUGCUGGUUUGAUUCAACUGUUUUUGUCAAAAUUCAUUUCAAUUUUGUUGUGGUUUGCCAUUAUAGGGGCGGCGCCGAGAUUGAACAAAAGGGACGGCGUCGACUGCGGCGGAGAUGAGAAGAAGAGGAGUUCCGUAUCAGAUGAGAAGGGGAAAGUUACUGGGAGAUGCAUUUUCAUUUUAACCAAACAAAUACUAAUUUUUCAGCCAUUGGAUUAUCUUUUUGACACAUGUCACACAUCCAUGUAAUUAAUGGAUUAAAUGGAGAAUAGGUUAAAUGGAGGCAACCUGGACUCAUUAUCCCUUAUUUUUUAUCAAACCGAACCUUAGUCGAGUUUCACGAGUUUGGAUAUGGUCCAUUUAAUGUGUCUUCCAUUUAGUCUAUUUGUUACAUAGUUGGAUGACAAGUGGAAAAGUUAAUUUUCAAUGGUUGAGAUUAAAACAAAGCAAAAUCACAUUUUCCUUCAACAAACAACAAAAGCUCUCACCGCAAUCAACUCCCUCCGCCGCCCCAUCCUCCACUCUCACCGUCACCAUUUUCCCCAUUUUUCAGUUUAAAGAUUGAAGAUCUGAAGUCGGGUUCUACUCACCAUCUCUCAUAGUCCUCACCACUACACCGUCACUGGAUCAAAAUAUUGUUGGUUCUGUUUUGAUGGCACUGAUAAAUAAGGUGUCAUUUUUCGCAUUGCACAAAGUACUCCACUACUCUAUUAGUGGAUCAAGACCGGUGAUUGGAGAAGCAAUGUGCCAUAGACUUGUUCGUCAUUUCUUCCUUAGUCUGAACCAAUGUUCUUCACUUCAUUCAGCUUCUUCUUCACUGCAAAAGCUUGAACCGACUGUUAGAGCUGAAGUAGAAGCCAAAAACUAUGUUAAAAUUCCUGAUAUCAUUUCCACGGAGUUGUCUCGAUCCCAAAAUUCAAAUCCUUUCUCUUUUUUAUCGUCUUUUCCGCAGAACUUACAAGUGCAAAUUGUUGAUGAAAUGUUGCAAUCUUUUAUAUCCAUCAGACCACGCUAUAAGCCCCAGCUAACCUAUUCCUACCUUCUUUCCUACACCCUCCAAAGUUCUCACCCCCUUCCUCUUGCACUCGCUAUCCUACAACGGACUCUACGUUCUGGUUGCUUACCAGUUCCUCAGACUCAUGUUCUCCUCUCAUCUGCUUGGUUGGACCGGCGAUGUCUGUCGCAUUCUGUGGCUAAUAUUUUACUUGAGAUGCAAUCAAUUGGAUAUCAUCCUGACUGUGGUACUUGUAAUUAUCUACUAUCAUCUCUUUGUGCUGUUGAUCGGUUAGUGGAGGCAGUUAAUGUGUUGAAGGGUAUGGGUGGAGCAGGAUGUAUUCCCGAUUCAAAUAGUUACGACAUUGUAAUUGGUGCAAUGUGCAAAGCCCGAAGGACUUCUGACGCUCAAGAUUUAAUGAAGCAAAUGGUGGAGAAAUAUUGUUUGACCCCAGACCAUGGAACAGUGGUGAAAUUCUUGACAGCAUUACGGACAAACAAGGAGAUAUGGAAAGCUGUUGAGGUGAUUGAGUUCCUGGAGAAAGAGGGAAACUCUGUCGGAUUUGAGAGUUAUGAGUUGGUGGUUGAAGGUUGCUUGGCGAGACGUGAGUAUGUUUUGGCUGCAAAGGUUGUUAUGGGGAUGACAGAAAGAGGUUUUAUACCGUAUAUCAAGGUGAGGCUGAAGAUAAUCGAAGGUUUGGCGAGCAUCGAUGAGUGGAAGAUAGCUUGUGCUGUGAGAGAAAGAUUUGCAAAACUUAAAUCUUAGCUGUUAAAUUACUUAUAGUUAGCCUAGUUCUGUUCUUAACGAUGAAGCAGAGAGUUGCAGCUCUUGAAUCUUAGAUUUGCCAAUCAUUUGGAGGUCAAUUAUCCUAGCAUGCUGCUUAAUGUUUGACAGGGUAGGUAGGAUCCAUGGCAAUGCCACAAGUGCCCUCUUUAUCCUUAAUAUCACGCUUCAUCUUAACAUAACCUGAUUCACCCCAGUCAUUUGCCCAUGAAUUCUUCACAAGCCAAUACUUUUCACCAUUUUCUUCUCCAUACCCAACUAUAGUCAUGGCAUGAUUGAGGUCCUUUCCACAACUUCCAGAAAAGACACCUUUUGAAUAAAAUUGAAAUGCAAAACUUCCAGCAUCAGUUGCAACGGAGACAGGCUGAUGAGCAACUGCAGCUUUUAGCAUUUUCUCAUUGCGAGCAG